rnacentral:rRNA from 1 species
CAUGCUGUAAACGAUGAGUGCUGGGUGUUGCGGGUAUUGACCCCCGCGGUGCCGAAGUCAACACGUUAAGCACUCCGCCUGGGAAGUACGGCCGCAAGGCUAAAACUCAAAGGAAUUGACGGGGGCCCGCACAAGCGGUGGAGCAUGUGGUUUAAUUCGACGCAACGCGCAGAACCUUACCCGGGCUCGAAAGUGCUGGAACUCUGCCGAAAGGUGGGGGUGCCCGCAAGGGAACCAGUAUCCAGGUGC